GCUACGCCCGCCCACCACUCCAAUAUAAGAUGCAGCCAGGUGUCAGUCAUCCACCGGCUGCUUCCUUCACCUUCAUCUGUGAAUAGUAAGUUUGUUUCCUUGAUGUUGUAGUUGUUCAUCCCUCCUGUUUUACGUGCUCUAACACACUGUUCUAUGUUUUAGAAAACCCUGAAGCAACAGGUACUGUAGACUGUUUUUCCAUUUUUGUUACAAUUUGUAUUUAAUGUGUAUAGUUAUAAGAAAUUAUAAUGAGUGUGUUACAUGGUCUAGUCAUGAUCCUUGUCAGGUCUAAAAGCAAGUGAUUAAGUUGAAAAUGUCAAAAUUCAUAAUUUUUUUCCCCCCACAUAGUAUCAAGACGUGCAGGAUGAUCCUGACUGCGGGUAUCUGUUUGAUCGUCACCAGUUUGGCCACCAUCACGACUGCAAGUUCUGGAGUGGUUGAUGGCAAUUACUGUGCUAGAAACAGUGAUGGGUAUUACGCCAACCCAAACGAUGCCACUUGUUACUACAUGUGUUCCUGUGGAGGAACCUUCAACCGAUGCUGCCUGACAGGUUACAUCUUCCAAGAAAGCUCCAGCAAGUGUGUACCAAACCCAAACACAACCCCUGCUCCCACAGCUACAACUACUAGAUCUACAACUACACCGACCACAACUACUACAACUACUCGGUCUACCACAAGCAUUACAACUACUUCAAUCCCUGGUUUCUGCCAGGGGAUGAGUGAUGGAUAUUACGGCAACCCAAACAAUGACACUUGUUACUACAUGUGUUCCUGUGGAGGAACCUUCAACCGAUGCUGCCUGACAGGUUACAUCUUCCAAAAAAGCUCUAGCAACUGUGUACCAAACCCGAACCCAACCCCUGCUCCCACUACUACAACUACUACACCAACCAGAACUACUACAACUACCCCGACCACAACGACUAAACCUACGACAACUACUCAACCCACCAAAACUACUACAACUACUAAACCUACUGCCCUGACCACAACUACUAAAUCUGCUACAACUACUUCACCCCCUAGUGUCUGCCUGGGGAAGAGUGAUGGGUAUUACGCCGACCCAAACAGUCCAGGUUGUUAUUACAUGUGUUCCUGUGGAGUAACCUUCCCCAAAUGCUGCCUGACAGGUUACAACUAUAAAGCUAGUUCCAGCAGCUGUGGGUGACUGUGAAGCAUUUCACAUAGCUUCAUCAAUAACAUAAUAUGUUAAAGUUUCCUAAAUUUAAUUUUUACUCAUAAUGAUUCUCCAUUGUGCUUGAAAAAAGGCUAAAUAACUGCUAUUUUGCGCUUCUAAAUUCCUUCUUUACAAUGAAAAAUCUAUUUACACAGCCAGUCUCUCCAUCAUUGCAACUUGUAUUGACAGUGAAUUGUUUUGUUUGAAUUUGUUUUCAGACAUCCAGCAUGUUGAACAUAAUAAAGGAUUAUUGCAUGAAAUUGUAUUUUGCUUG
rnacentral:lncRNA from 1 species